GAAGGUAUAGCUUAGGGGUAAACUGUGUGCUUAGCAUGCAUGAGGUCCUGGGUUCAAUCUCUAGUACCUCCA
rnacentral:tRNA from 1 species